UUUGUAGGAAAGGAGAUAUCCCAAGUUUAGUACCAUGAUAAGGAAACCAGGAUCUGAUGAUAGGAUCCCAGAGAAAUCGAGGGAAACUCUUGAAAAUCCGCAAUAACUUUUUACUGGGUGUACCGAUUUUGUUAAUUCUUUUUUUGUUGGAAAGAAGAUAUCCCUAGUUUAGUAUCAUGAUAAGGAAACCAGGAUCUGAUGAUGGGAUUCCAGAGAAAUCGAGGGAAACUCUUGAAAAUCCGCA
rnacentral:misc_RNA from 1 species